rnacentral:rRNA from 1 species
UACGAAGGGUGCAAGCGUUACUCGGAAUUACUGGGCGUAAAGCGUGCGUAGGUGGUUUGUUAAGUCUGAUGUGAAAGCCCUGGGCUCAACCUGGGAACGGCAUUGGAAACUGGCUUACUAGAGUGCGGUAGAGGGGUGUGGAAUUCCCGGUGUAGCAGUGAAAUGCGUAGAUAUCGGGAGGAACAUCUGUGGCGAAGGCGACACCCUGGACCAGCACUGACGCUGAGGCACGAAAGCGUGGGGAGCGAACAGG